rnacentral:rRNA from 1 species
ACUCCUACGGGAGGCAGCAGUAAGGAAUAUUGGUCAAUGGACGCAAGUCUGAACCAGCCAUGCCGCGUGAAGGAUGAAGGUCCUCUGGAUUGUAAACUUCUUUUAUAGGGGGCGAAAAAGGUUUUCUUAAAUCACUUGACAGUACCUAUGAAUAAGCACCGGCUAACUCCGUGCCAGCAGCCGCGGUAAUACGGAGGGUGCAAGCGUAUCCGGAUUCACUGGGUUUAAGGGUGCUUAGGCGGUAGGUAAGUCAGAGGUGAAAUCCUGGAGCUUAACUCCAGAACUGCCUUUGAUACUAUCUAUCUUGAAUAUGGUGGAGGUAAGCGGAAUAUGUCAUGUAGCGGUGAAAUGCAUAGAUAUGACAUAGAACACCUAUUGCGAAGGCAGCUUACUACGCCUAUAUUGACGCUGAGGCACGAAAGCGUGGGGAUCAAACAGGAUUAGAUACCCUGGUAGGAUAGCG